UUUAGCUUGUGAAAAGCCAGUUCUAACAGGACUUUGACCUUGAAAAAAAUUUCCAAGGUAGAAUUUUGUUGAAUUGGAAACUAAUAUUGGCAGAGGUUUGCCUCUACGAGUGCGGUGCUCUGGUUCUUUCUUAUUUUUUAUGUGAUAACGUGUGUCUUU